rnacentral:rRNA from 1 species
UACGUAGGGGGCAAGCGUUGUCCGGAAUUAUUGGGCGUAAAGCGCGCGCAGGCGGCCUUUUAAGUCUGGUGUUUAAGUGCGGGGCUCAACCCCGUGACGCACUGGAAACUGGGAGGCUUGAGUGCAGAAGAGGAGAGCGGAAUUCCACGUGUAGCGGUGAAAUGCGUAGAGAUGUGGAGGAACACCAGUGGCGAAGGCGGCUCUCUGGACUGUAACUGACGCUGAGGCGCGAAAGCGUGGGGCGCAAACAGG